rnacentral:rRNA from 1 species
GAUGAACGCUGGCGGCGUGCCUAAUACAUGCAAGUCGAGCGAACAGACGAGGAGCUUGCUCCUCCGACGUUAGCGGCGGACGGGUGAGUAACACGUGGAUAACCUACCUAUAAGACUGGGAUAACUUCGGGAAACCGGAGCUAAUACCGGAUAAUAUAUUGAACCGCAUGGUUCAAUAGUGAAAGACGGUUUUGCUGUCACUUAUAGAUGGAUCCGCGCCGCAUUAGCUAGUUGGUAAGGUAACGGCUUACCAAGGCAACGAUGCGUAGCCGACCUGAGAGGGUGAUCGGCCACACUGGAACUGAGACACGGUCCAGACUCCUACGGGAGGCAGCAGUAGGGAAUCUUCCGCAAUGGGCGAAAGCCUGACGGAGCAACGCCGCGUGAGUGAUGAAGGUCUUCGGAUCGUAAAGCUCUGUUAUUAGGGAAGAACAAAUGUGUAAGUAACUAUGCACGUCUUGACGGUACCUAAUCAGAAAGCCACGGCUAACUACGUG